CCAUGUUGGCCAGGUUGGUCUCGAACUCCUGACCUCGUGAUCCACCCGCCUCGGCCUCCAAAAGUGCUGGGAUGACAGGCAUGAGCCACCGUGCCUGGCCCUACAAAUUGAUUUUUGACAUUAAUGAACAUAAACCCUAAUCUGUUAUCACUAGGAUCAAAGCUUUCAUCCAUUUCAACACCUAUCUAAUUUUGAAACUUUAUUGCUAAAUAUAGAUGUUGUUUUAAUAUGUUUGAUUUCAAAGAACACUUUUAAUAUUAGCUCUAUCUGGAGACAGUAUAGGUCGUAAAAAAUUGGCUCUAAAUAGUAAUACUGGAGUGACACUUUAAAGAUAUGUAUUGUUGUGGAAAAACAUUUUUGAAUUUUUGAAUUCAGUAAUGAUUGCCUCAACAUAGCAAACUGAUCAUGUUCACCUAUUUCUCUACCUGUUCCAAGUCACAUUAAACGUCCGCUGCAGGGGGGAGGGAGGUACAUGAGGGAGGAAUACACAGGGUGCAUUUCAAUGCUAUUUGUGAUAUAGUAUUUCUCAAGCUAGAUGUUGGACACUGGGUAUUCAUUUUAUUAGAGUCCAUAUUAUGUGCAUGACAAAAUUCUGUUAUCUUUUGUAAGAUUAAAUCCAUAAUUCUAGUAAACAAAAAGAGUACUACUGAUGUGGAGAAGUGUCUAAAAUAUGGAAAACAAAUAUGAUUAGAUUGUUAGAGAAACAAGAAAACCCAUAUCCCAAAUCAGGGCAGGAGAAAACUACCAAAGAGGUAAGAACAAUUCCAGAGAUAUUUUAAUCUCAGGACAAAUACAGAGAGUAGGAGAAGGCUGGGCAUGGCGGCAUGUGUCAGCAGUCCCAGCUACUCAAGAGGCUGAGGUAGGAAAAUUGCUUGAGCCUAGGAGUUUGAGGCUGCAGUGUGCUACAGCUUCACCUGUGAAUAGCCACUAUAUUUCAGCCUGGGCAACAUAGUGAGAUCUUGUCUAAAAAAAAGAGUAGAAGGAGAUCAUGGGUUAGCCACUAAAAGAUUGAAACCUACAGCUGUGCCCUAUUCCCUGUCUUGUUAUUGAGGCUGGGCAGUAAAAGGGGUUAAAGUGUAAAGGUUGGAAAGGAAAGACUAGAACCUGAAAUAAUUUCAUAUCCCCUAAGGGCAUCAAAGUAAGAAAAAAAUUUUAACGGAGCAGUGGGUUGUGUCACUGAACUCUGAUUAAAGCCAAGAGCUUGGACCUCAUUAGAAAGAAUUCAGACAGGGCAGGGCCCUAGGGAACUCAGCACAUCUCCCUCUUGUUUCCCUCUCACCCCCCACCAACAACCAGAGGCAAAACACCAAAUUAGAACUUGGAUUACAGGUGUGAGCCACGGCACCCGGCCUUCAAAAUAGUUGAAUUGCUAGUUAUACCCCUUUUAUUCUGAAGUAUAAGCCCUAAACUAACUUAAAAUAGUUUCUAGUG
rnacentral:lncRNA from 1 species